GGGGAUAUUGGACAAUGGGGGGAACCCUGAUCCAGCGACGCCGCGUGAGUGAAGAAGUAUUUCGGUAUGUAAAGCUCUGUCAGCAGGGAAGAAAGCAAUGACGGUACCUGACCAAGAAGCCCCGGCUAACUACGUGCCAGCAGCCGCGGUAAUACGUAGGGGGCAAGCGUUAUCCGGAAUUACGGGGUGUAAAGGGAGCGUAGGCGGCUGUGCAAGUCUGGAGUGAAAGGCGGGGGCCCAACCCCCGGACUGCUCUGGAAACUGUAUGGCUGGAGUGCAGGAGAGGUAAGCGGAAUUCCUAGUGUAGCGGUGAAAUGCGUAGAUAUUAGGAGGAACACCAGUGGCGAAGGCGGCUUACUGGACUGUAACUGACGUUGAGGCUCGAAAGCGUGGGGAGCAGACA
rnacentral:rRNA from 1 species